rnacentral:rRNA from 1 species
GACGAACGCUGGCGGCGUGCUUAACACAUGCAAGUCGAACGAUGAAAGCUGGAGCUUGCUCCGGCUGGAUUAGUGGCGAACGGGUGAGUAACACGUGAGCAAUCUGCCCUUGACUCUGGGAUAACGCCGAGAAAUUGGUGCUAAUACCGGAUAUGACGCCUGGCGGCAUCGCUGGGCGUGGAAAGUUUUUCGGUCAAGGAUGAGCUCGCGGCCUAUCAGCUUGUUGGUGAGGUAAUGGCUCACCAAGGCGACGACGGGUAGCCGGCCUGAGAGGGUGACCGGCCACACUGGGACUGAGACACGGCCCAGACUCCUACGGGAGGCAGCAGUGGGGAAUAUUGCACAAUGGGCGCAAGCCUGAUGCAGCAACGCCGCGUGGGGGAUGACGGCCUUCGGGUUGUAAACCUCUUUUAGCAGGGAAGAAGCGAAAGUGGCGGUACCUGCAGAAAAAGCACCGGCUAACUACGUGCCAGCCGCCGCAGUAA